GACGAACGCUGGCGGCGUGCCUAAUACAUGCAAGUUGAGCGAUGACGAAUGGUGCUUGCACCAAUUUGAAGAGCAGCGAACGGGUGAGUAACGCGUGGGGAAUCUGCCUUUGAGCGGGGGACAACAUUUGGAAAAGAAUGCUACUAACGCAUAAUACCUUUAAACAUAAGUUUUAAGUUUGAAAGAUGCCAUUGCAUCACUCAAAGAUGAUCCCGCGUUGUAUUAGCUAGUUGGUGAGGUAAAGGCUCACCAAGGCGAUGAUACCUAGCCGACCUGAGAGGGGUGUUGAGCCAAAUGGGAAUGGAACACGGCCCAAGCCCCUUAGGGGGGCAGCAGGAGGGGAUCAUCGGACAUUGACGAAAGGCUUACCGAGGAACGCCGCGGUAGGGAAGAAGGUUCUCGGAUCGGAAAACUCUGUUUGUAGAGAAGAAAGUGCGGGAGAGUAGAAAGCUCAUGUAGUGACGGUAACCAACCAGAAAGGGACGGCUAACUACGUG
rnacentral:rRNA from 1 species